UACAUGUGGGGCAAGCGUUGUUCGGAAUUCUGGGCAUAAAGGGUGCGUAGGCGGCUUGUUAAGUCAGGGGUGAAAGUUUUCGGCCCAACCGGAAAAUUGCCUUUGAUACUGGCGAGCUGGAGUGCGUGAGGGGUGACCGGAACGAGUGGUGUGAGCGGUGAAAUGCGUAGAUAUCACUCGGAAGGCCAACGGCGAAGGCAGGUCACUGGUGCGCAACUGACGCUGAGGCACGAAAGCGUGGGGAGCGAACAGG
rnacentral:rRNA from 1 species